UGAAUGAUGGCGGAGCUGAGUGGCUUGUCAUCAUUCUCGAAAAUUCUGAGGCUAGUGAGCUCUCUCUCCCUCUCCCACUCGCCUUAUUUUCCUUUUCGCCACUGCGGGGACUUUUUCUAAUUUGCAGCUUCCCUUUCCCCGACACACACAGACACGAGCUGGUGGCUUGCAGACUGCGUCUGUCUGGAGUGAGAGAGCCGGAGAGCCAGUCCCAGGGACCAUGCUCCUGGAGCAGGGUUCUGCAGCAGUUCUCAAAGGCUAGACUUGGGUGGUAUUGCUGCAUAUGAGCUGAUUCUUCAGCUUGUUGUCUCUAACCGAGGAAGCGUUGAUUGAGAACCACUCAUUCAGAAAAUUAAAAGAAAGAAGCCAGAACAUAUUAUCAGCCCUUUGAGAACACAACAUAACGAACUUGACUAUUUUACCACUUCCUUCAAUAGGAGAAGUGACAGGGCUUUGAAGAAUGGCAGAUGAACGGAAAGAUGAAGCAAAGGCACCUCAUUGGACCUCAGCUCAACUAACAGAGGCAUCUGCGCAUCCACAUCCGCCUGAGAUUAAGGAUCAAGGUGGGGCAGGGGAAGGACUGGUCCGGAGCGCCAAUGGCUUCCCAUACAGGGAAGAUGAAGAGGGUGCCUUUGGAGACCACGGGUCACAGGUCUCCUAUGCAGAUACCAGAGAGAAUGGAAUCAACGGAGAGCUGACCUCAGCUGACAGAGAAA